GAGAGCUUAACUUAACGGUAAAGUAUAUGACUUUUAAUCAUUCCAAUGUGAGUUCGAAUCUCAUAGCUAUUA
rnacentral:tRNA from 1 species